GACGAACGCUGGCGGCAUGCCUAACACAUGCAAGUCGAGCGAGCAGAUCCCUUCGGGGUGAAGCUAGCGGCGGACGGGUGAGUAACACGUGGGCAACCUGCCUCAUAGAGGGGAAUAGCCUUCCGAAAGGAAGAUUAAUACCGCAUAAGAUUGUGGCUUCGCAUGAAGCAGCAAUUAAAGGAGCAAUCCGCUAUGAGAUGGGCCCGCGGCGCACUAGCUAGUUGGUGAGGUAACGGCUCACCAAGGCGACGAUGCGUAGCCGACCUGAGAGGGUGAUCGGACACAUUGGGACUGAGACACGGCCCAGACUCCUACGGGAGGCAGCAGUGGGGAAUAUUGCACAAUGGGGGAAACCUUGAUGCAGCAAUGCCGCGUGAGUGAUGACGGCCUUCGGGUUGUAAAGCUCUGUCUUCGGGGACGAUAAUGACGGUACCCGAGGAGGAAGCCACGGCUAACUACGUGCCAGCAGCCGCCGUAA
rnacentral:rRNA from 1 species